rnacentral:rRNA from 1 species
UGUCGUCAGCUCGUGUCGUGAGAUGUUGGGUUAAGUCCCGCAACGAGCGCAACCCUUAUUGUUAGUUGCUACCAUUUAGUUGAGCACUCUAGCGAGACUGCCCGGGUUAACCGGGAGGAAGGUGGGGAUGACGUCAAAUCAUCAUGCCCCUUAUGUCUAGGGCUACACACGUGCUACAAUGGUCGGUACAAUGAGAUGCAACCUCGCGAGAGUGAGCAAAACUAUAAAACCGAUCUCAGUUCGGAUUGUAGGCUGAAACUCGCCUACAUGAAGCUGGAGUUGCUAGUAAUCGCGAAUCAGAAUGUCGCGGUGAAUACGUUCCCGGGCCUUGUACACACCGCCCGUCACACCAUGAGAGUUGGCAAUACCCAAAGUUCGUGAGCUAACCGCAAGGAGGCAGCGACCUAAGGUAGGGUCAGCGAUUGGGGUGAAGUCGUAACAAGGUAGCCGUAGGAGAACCUGCGGCUGGAUCACCUCCUUUCUA